GGGGCUAUGGCGCAAUUGGUAGCGCAGCGCUUUUGCAAGGCGAAGGUUAGGGGUUCAAGUCCCCUUAGCUCCA
rnacentral:tRNA from 1 species